ensembl:lncRNA
UUCCAGUCCCCUGAAUGGGAGAAAAAUAGCACCGGCCAUGUUGGUGGCCUGACAGCUGGUGUGAAUCCAGGCCAGAGGGCGUUUUUCGAGCGCUUGCUAUCUGCUAAGUUCUGGGAUACAGAGAUGACUAAAAGAGGGCCAGUGCUGGGGGAUGGGCGGCCGUGAAAGUUCUGUGGCCUCAUCACUGUAGCUGUAGAAACUCAUCGGCGUAGCUGUAGCAAUGAGCGUUCAGAGGGGUUGAGUGAUGUGCCUGAGGUCCCCCCUGCAAGCCCACAACAGAGCUGGGAUUUGAGCUUUUCGGACCGCCCUGAGCGCCCUUCCCGUCAUACCAGCUGCUCCAGGAACUUUGGAAGGAUUGGGAGACUGCCUGGCACAUGUUCCAGGUAUUUGCCCUAGAGAAACGAAAUGUCUGCUCACACAGAAACCUGAACCUGAAUGCCUGUGCUUCACAGCAGCAUUCUUCAUAACUGCCUCAAACUGGAGAUAAAUGCAAAUGUCCUUCCGCUGGUAAAUGGGUAAACAAACGGCGGCGUUCUCGUACAAGGGAGAACUACUCAGCAAUGAAAAGGAACGAACCACUCAUCUAUGCAGGAACGUGGAUGAGUCUCAAAGUCAUGAUGCUGAGUAAAAGAAGGCAGGCUCAAAAGGCUACGUGAUGCAUGAUUCCAUAUAGACGACAUUCUGGAAAAGACAAAGCCGUGAGGAAACCCUGGCACAGGGUGGUGGUCUUGCCCAAGACAACAUAGCCAGUAGGUGGCAGAGCUGUGUGAUGGCCUGGACCCACUAACGACCGGGAGAUGCUGCCCCCAGCACCAACUGGAGCCAGAUUUGGAAUCAGACCGGCCUCGGUCGGAAUCUGGGCUCAUUACUUGCAGGCUGGGUGACUAUGACAGGUUCUUCAGCCUUGCUUGGUUCCACCUUCCUGCUCUGUAAGACGUGGACACUUGAACUGACGUCAAAGGUCGCUCCAGAAUGAAAUGAGAUGAUGUGUGCUGAGUGCUCACGGCAUAGUAAAAUACUCACUAAUGCUGGUGAUGAUGGAUGUGGGGAGAAAUGGAUGAAUGAAUGACUGUGGUUCACAGGGCCCCAGGGUGCUGGCAGCAGGGCCAGCUCCUGCGGAAGGGAAUUUUCCAGGAGGGAAGGCAAGGAGAGGCAAGGUCUUCCCCUGCCAGGGGUUCGCCAGGCCCUCCAGAGAUGCCCCCACCCUGGCAUCUGCCAGCCUUCCCUCCUCCCCCGGAGCUCCCUCUCCAGGGUCAGGGCACGUGGGCCCCAGAGCCACCAGGCUGCGAGGGGAGCCUCCAGCCUUUUAGAAGUAAGGACCUUUCGCAGUAAAACUUCAAAGCCCUUACAGUCUCCACCACCUAAUGCAGCCCGAGCCUGGAACGCAGUGUCCCCAGGGGAGCGAAUCCAGGGUGAGGUGCUGCCAGGAAAGCUCAGGGGCUCCCUAGGUCACACAGGCCCCUUUGAGCUCCCAGGAGAAGAGUCUAGAGAAUGGCAUCCUCUCAGUGUCCCCGGCUUUCCGGUGGGACCUUGAGUUCUGCCAGGUCUAGGCUCUGCCUACUCCCCGGUCACUGCACGUUCCCACGUCCCCACACUCGUUCGUGGAACAAGCGAACACAUUCCCACUGGAUGCUUCCAGGUAGCAGUUCCCGGCAGCCGCUGGGGCACACAGCCUCUGGGUUCUGGCACUGACGCCUUGUGACCCUGUGGGGUGGCAGGUCAGACCCCCAGGGAAGGAGAGGAGGGCAGGUGAGUCUUCCCUUGUUCCUUCUUUUAUUUUCCCCUUAACACAGGAAAGGCACUCUGGUUCUUGUGAUGAUAGAAGCAUACAUGAUAUUGAAACAAAAACUCAAAUACCACAGAAGCUUAGGGUGUCAGGGCCCAGGCUGGGGCCACUGGAUGUGGCCUGCUGGCCACUGCCACCCCCUGGUGGUCCCUUAUGAAAAAGGAGCCUCACCCACCAGCCAGGGGCCAGACAGGUGCCCCUGCCAUCCCUCCCUCCUCCCUCCUUUUCCU